rnacentral:rRNA from 1 species
UUCGCUCGGGUGAUUUGGACCAUAGUUCAAGUAGCUUCAAAUUUAUACCCACCACGUAGUGCACGUAACAUAUUCGGCAACUGGUUGAGGGGUAUUGAUAAACAAUUUUCUGCACAUAUUCUUGUGGGGGCGACUGCCUUAUGCUGGGCAUUGUGGCUUAUCAGGAAUGAUGUGGUUUUUAAUAAAAAAUGUGUUUCAUCUCCUAUGCAGGUUAUUCAUGUAUGUACGCGAUGGCUUCGUAUUUGGUCUAUUCUGCAGAGGCCGGAGGACAUGACCUUUUUAUGA